AUUGGGUUUGAGAGCAAAAAUAUUAACAUGCAAAAUAAAAGUUGAUUCAAUUGACAAGUGAAAACAAUGGAUGAAUGAAUGUUGUUGGGUACUAACAAUUUCAUCUAUUCCACUCUCUCUUACAUACUACCCUUGAUUAUUAGAUUGAUUCAAUUAUUAUGCGACUUUCUUAGCCUCCCCUUAACCCGAUCCCUCGGCGAAAAGGGCCUAAUAUCAAUUACUGGCUUGCUAUCCCUAGCCUCCCCUAAUAAUUAAUACCGCAUUAAAAACAGAAGUUAGCGCAAUUGAUCGUCCUACCCCUAUCCCUAGGUGGUAUUGCAGAAUCAAGAGAUUACUCACCAGUUCAUGUCAUUACCGCACGUCCCCAUGUCAAUAACGACAAACAACAAUAUAUCGAAUGAGUUAAACGAUAAAAGCCUUAAGCACAGAUGAUAACCCAACAAUAAUCAAUCAAAACAUAUGGAGACCAUAUAAAUAAUCAAUAGUUUCAAUAAGAGAGAGUAUCAAAAGAUUACAUUGAAUUCCCCAACAACAAUAGGGUUUAGUUCACCAUAGACAUGGUGAAACUAGAUGUAAAAUGGAAGAAGAAUGAAAGAGCAAACCCUAGAAAAGAUGAAAAGGAGCCUAAGCAUCCAAGAGAUCCUCUCCAGAGAGAAAAAUUAGGUCUGGC
rnacentral:lncRNA from 1 species